CACAACUUUACAUCAGUUAUCAUAACUUCAACUAUCUAAUUUGCGCCGCUCUCGUGAUUCGUGAAGCAUAAUAAAGGGCAUAUUAUAAGGGCAUAAUACCAGCAAAAAAGGGCAUAAUUCCCGUGAUCGCUUCGAUCGAAACCUGACCAAUAUUCCGGUAAUGAGACAUUGCCUGUGAUCACUGAUCAUGUUUUUAUAUGAACGAUUUCGUGUGAGCUGUGAGGUAGCAAAUACGGUCAGGCAAAAUAGUCUGUAAUUUAAUAUAUGUCGCCUAUGCACUUAGUCUGUUUUAUACUGUAGCCUAUGAACACGUCUUUUCUUGGCGGAAGUAAACAUAUUUUUUCGAGAAUGUGUUUUUUCCCACCCACUUUCAAAAUUCGGCGCCCCAUUUUCAUUUUUGCGCCCCCCAAGAAUUGCCAGCUGGGGGGGCCGUGGCCCCCCGGCCCCCCCUGCCAGCACGCCACUG